GCCAAAUGGGGUUUGACGGUCGUAGUUUGUUUAAAAUCUGAUGCUGAAAUGGUCUUGCUCCUAUACUUUCUGUUAGACUUUGCUUUCAACAAACAUGGUUUGAUUUUUGGUAUUUUUAGACUAUCAAUAAGUUGUUAUUAAUUUUAAAUUUCAUAUUGUCGUCAAGGUUAUGUUUUUGGUGAAACUGGGUUAUUCUGAUUCUCUUGUGGAGGGCUAGUAUGAUUGGGUGAUACAGUAAUUUUUGUACUGUGAAAUGAACAAGGCUGGUAGAGUAUAUUUUGGGAGAACUGAUAAGUCUUAGAUAAUUUGGAAGCAUGAUACUGACUGGGAAUGAGAAUUGUGAUUGUUUUCUUAAAUGUUGUGUCUUGGAUUGUUU
rnacentral:misc_RNA from 1 species